rnacentral:rRNA from 1 species
AGUGAACGCUGGCGGUAGGCCUAACACAUGCGAGUCGAACGGCCGCACAGUAAGAGCUUGCUCUUACGGGUGGCGAGUGGCGGACGGGUGAGGCAUACAUCGGAAUCUACUUUUUCGUGGGGGAUAACGUAGGGAAACUUACGCUAAUACCGCAUACGACCUACGGGUGAAAGCAGGGGAUCUUCGGACCUUGCGCGAUUGAAUGAGCCGAUGUCGGAUUAGCUAGUUGGCGGGGUAAAGGCCCACCAAGGCGACGAUCCGUAGCUGGUCUGAGAGGAUGAUCAGCCACACUGGAACUGAGACACGGUCCAGACUCCUACGGGAGGCAGCAGUGGGGAAUAUUGGACAAUGGGCGCAAGCCUGAUCCAGCCAUACCGCGUGGGUGAAGAAGGCCUUCGGGUUGUAAAGCCCUUUUGUUAGGAAAGAAAAGCAGCAGGUUAAUACCCCGCUGUUCUGACGGUACCCAAAGAAUAAGCACCGGCUAACUUCGUG